rnacentral:rRNA from 1 species
AUUGAACGCUGGCGGCAGGCUUAACACAUGCAAGUCGAACGGUAACGGGCCUUCGGGUGCCGGCGAGUGGCGAACGGGUGAGUAAAGUAUCGGAACGUGCCUUUCAGUGGGGGAUAACGUAGCGAAAGUUACGCUAAUACCGCAUAUUCUCUGAGGAGGAAAGCAGGGGACCUUCGGGCCUUGCGCUGAGAGAGCGGCCGAUAUAAGAUUAGCUAGUUGGUGAGGUAAAGGCUCACCAAGGCGACGAUCUGUAGCGGGUCUGAGAGGAUGAUCCGCCCCGAUGGAAAUGAGACACGGUCCAGACGCCGACAGGAGGCAGCAGUGGGGAAUAUUGGACAAUGGUGGAAACCCUGAUCCAGCAAUGCCGCGUGCGUGAAGAAGGCCUUCGGGUUGUAAAGCAAUUUAAAUAGGGAAGAACAAGCUUAGGGCUAAUAUCCAUGAGCCUAGACGUUACCUAUAGAAGAAGCACUGGCUAACUCUGUGCCAGCCGCCGCUGUAAAAC